CAGUAGAAAACGGAUGAACAAACCUAGAUUUCUUCCUGCGUGAAUCCAGUUGAGGAGAAGGUAUAAAAUUUUCAAAUGGAGGAGUGUACCUGAACCUAAUCAUGGAUGUGAUUUUAUGGUCUCACUUUGUCACCUAGGAGUGUAGUGGUGUAAUAAUCACAGCUCACUGCAGCCUCAACCUCCUGGGCGCAAGGAAUCUUCCAGCCUCAGCCACCCAAGUAGCUGAGACUACAAAUACAGAUAAGCUGAUUCUAAAACUUACAAGAAUGGCAAAGAAACAAGAAGAGCUUAACUGCAAUCAUCGACACAGAAGCCUUCUGUGACCAAAGUGAAGACUGAAGCCCUAGGCUAUGGCAGAAGUUGGGCGCCUGAAGUACACGUGGAAAUAUGCCAACUGAACAUUGGACUACCAC
rnacentral:lncRNA from 1 species